rnacentral:rRNA from 1 species
CCUACGGGCGACAGCAGUGGGGAAUAUUGGACAAUGGGGGGAACCCUGAUCCAGCGACGCCGCGUGAGUGAAGAAGUAUUUCGGUAUGUAAAGCUCUAUCAGCAGGGAAGAAAGAAAUGACGGUACCUGACUAAGAAGCCCCGGCUAACUACGUGCCAGCAGCCGCGGUAAUACGUAGGGGGCAAGCGUUAUCCGGAUUUACUGGGUGUAAAGGGAGCGUAGACGGCGAUGCAAGUCUGAAGUGAAAGGCGGGGGCCCAACCCCCGGACUGCUUUGGAAACUGUAUGGCUGGAGUGCAGGAGAGGUAAGUGGAAUUCCUAGUGUAGCGGUGAAAUGCGUAGAGAUUAGGAGGAACACCAGUGGCGAAGGCGGCUUACUGGACUGUAACUGACGUUGAGGCUCGAAAGCGUGGGGAGCAAACAGGAUUAGAUACCCGUGUAGUC